AUUGAACGCUGGCGGCAGGCCUAACACAUGCAAUUCGAACGAGUGGCGGACGGGUGAGUCAUGUCUGGGAAACUGCCUGAUGGAGGGGGAUAACUACUUGAAACGGUAGCUAAUACCGCAUACCCUCAGAUGUGCCCAGAUGGGAUUAGCUAGUUGGUGGGGUAACGGCUCACCAAGGCGCCGAGCCCUAGCUGGUCUGGAAGGAUGAACAGCCACACCGGAACUUAGACACGGUCCAGACUCCUACGGGAGGCAGCAGUGGGGAAUAUUGCACAAGGGGCGCAAGCCUGAUGCAGCCAUGCCGCGUGUAUGAAGAAGGCCUUCGGGGUGUAAAGUACUUUCAGCGGGGAGGCGUUACCCGCAGAAGAAGCACCGGCUAACUCCGUGCCAGCAGCCGCGGUAAUUC
rnacentral:rRNA from 1 species